rnacentral:tRNA from 1 species
GCAAGCGUAGCUUAAGUCAAAAGCUUAAUACUGAAGAUGUUAGGAUGGGCUCUAGAAUGCCCGCGAGCA